GAAAGCGUAAUAGCUCACUGGUCGAGUCGGCCUGCGCGGAAGAUGUAACGGGGCUAAACCAUGCACCGAAGCUGCGGCAGCGACACUGAUGUGUUGUUGGGUAGGGGAGCGUUCUGUAAGCCUGUGAAGGUGGCCUGUGAGGGUUGCUGGAGGUAUCAGAAGUGCGAAUGCUGACAUAAGUAACGAUAAAGCGGGUGAAAAGCCCGCUCGCCGGAAGACCAAGGGUUCCUGUCCAACGUUAAUCGGGGCAGGGUGAGUCGACCCCUAAGGCGAGGCCGAAAGGCGUAGUCGAUGGGAAACGGGUUAAUAUUCCCGUACUUGGUGUUACUGCGAAGGGGGGACGGAGAAGGCUAUGUUGGCCGGGCGACGGUUGUCCCGGUUUAAGCGUGUAGGUGUGUGUUCCAGGUAAAUCCGGUUCACUUUAACACUGAGGCGUGACGACGAGGCACUACGGUGCUGAAGCAACAAAUGCCCUGCUUCCAGGAAAAGCCUCUAAGCAUCAGGUAACAUCAAAUCGUACCCCAAACCGACACAGGUGGUCAGGUAGAGAAUACCAAGGCGCUUGAGAGAACUCGGGUGAAGGAACUAGGCAAAAUGGUGCCGUAACUUCGGGAGAAGGCACGCUGACACGUAGGUGAAGUGAUUUACUCAUGGAGCUGAAGUCAGUCGAAGAUACCAGCUGGCUGCAACUGUUUAUUAAAAACACAGCACUGUGCAAACACGAAAGUGGACGUAUACGGUGUGACGCCUGCCCGGUGCCGGAAGGUUAAUUGAUGGGGUCAGCGCAAGCGAAGCUCCUGAUCGAAGCCCCGGUAAACGGCGGCCGUAACUAUAACGGUCCUAAGGUAGCGAAAUUCCUUGUCGGGUAAGUUCCGACCUGCACGAAUGGCGUAAUGAUGGCCAGGCUGUCUCCACCCGAGACUCAGUGAAAUUGAACUCGCUGUGAAGAUGCAGUGUACCCGCGGCAAGACGGAAAGACCCCGUGAACCUUUACUAUAGCUUGACACUGAACAUUGAGCCUUGAUGUGUAGGAUAGGUGGGAGGCUUUGAAGUGUGGACGCCAGUCUGCAUGGAGCCGACCUUGAAAUACCACCCUUUAAUGUUUGAUGUUCUAACGUGGACCCGUUACCCGGGUUGCGGACAGUGUCUGGUGGGUAGUUUGACUGGGGCGGUCUCCUCCUAAAGAGUAACGGAGGAGCACGAAGGUUGGCUAAUCCUGGUCGGACAUCAGGAGGUUAGUGCAAUGGCAUAAGCCAGCUUGACUGCGAGCGUGACGGCGCGAGCAGGUGCGAAAGCAGGUCAUAGUGAUCCGGUGGUUCUGAAUGGAAGGGCCAUCGCUCAACGGAUAAAAGGUACUCCGGGGAUAACAGGCUGAUACCGCCCAAGAGUUCAUAUCGACGGCGGUGUUUGGCACCUCGAUGUCGGCUCAUCACAUCCUGGGGCUGAAGUAGGUCCCAAGGGUAUGGCUGUUCGCCAUUUAAAGUGGUACGCGAGCUGGGUUUAGAACGUCGUGAGACAGUUCGGUCCCUAUCUGCCGUGGGCGCUGGAGAACUGAGGGGGGCUGCUCCUAGUACGAGAGGACCGGAGUGGACGCAUCACUGGUGUUCGGGUUGUCAUGCCAAUGGCACUGCCCGGUAGCUAAAUGCGGAAGAGAUAAGUGCUGAAAGCAUCUAAGCACGAAACUUGCCCCGAGAUGAGUUCUCCCUGAGACUUAGAGUCUCCUGAAGGAACGUUGAAGACGACGACGUUGAUAGGCCGGGUGUGUAAGCGCAGCGAUGCGUUGAGCUAACCGGUACUAAUGAACCGUGAGGCUUAACC
rnacentral:rRNA from 1 species